rnacentral:rRNA from 1 species
CAGUAGCCGCGGUAAUACGAAGGGUGCAAGCGUUAAUCGGAAUUACUGGGCGUAAAGCGUGCGUAGGCGGUGAGUUAAGUCUGCUGUGAAAUCCCCGGGCUCAACCUGGGAAUGGCAGUGGAUACUGGCUCGCUAGAGUGUGUCAGAGGAUGGUGGAAUUCCCGGUGUAGCGGUGAAAUGCGUAGAGAUCGGGAGGAACAUCAGUGGCGAAGGCGGCCAUCUGGGACAAUACUGACGCUCAUGCACGAAAGCGUGGGGAGCAAACAGGAUUAGAUACCCCUGUAGUCCCUGUCUCUUAUAC